rnacentral:lncRNA from 1 species
UGCACACUAGUCCCCUCCCCUCGACCCCGCAGCCCCGCGGCGCGUUUCCUGAGGCGCCCCCGCCACGUCCCGCGAGUCUCUGCCAAGUUCCCGCGCGGGUGCGCCCCGGUCGCGCCCUCCCUGCGCCCGCCCAGGCCUGGGGAGCUCUGUGGGUGGAAGCCGGCGCCCCCUGGGGGCACCCGGGCGUGGCGAGGGCCUCGGCGGUCGGGAGGCCUCUGCGGGGCAGCGGUCGGGAGCGAGGCCACGGGGCGCCAGGUACAGCCGGCGGGACGUCCAGUGCCAGCGCAGGAGCCGGGCGAGGCCGUGGCCUCCAGGGUUCCUGGGCGGAGGACAAGGCGCGCAGCCGCGUUGGCGCGAGUUUUAAAUCGGUGCCUUCUCAGCUUUGCAAGUUCUUAUCAAUUGCUGCAUGCCAGAGGAAGUUUUUAAAAAAUGGCCCCCAGCUCUAUUGCGGUGUAAUUGAUGGAUAGAAAUUGUAUUUAUUUAAGGUGAACAGCUGGAUGAUGUGAUGGAGGCACGCAGGGUGGAGGGGUUACCACAGUCUAGGUACUCUACACAUCCAGAGCCUCCCACAGUUGACAAAUGGAUUUUCCUAAUCAGUUUCGUCGUGUUUUGUACUUAAGUUGAGGAUUCCACACCGUGUGGUACUUUCAGAAGAGAUGUAGUGGUGAAUCAAUCGCAACGGUAAGGGGAGCAGACCUGGACAUCUGAUACUUGAUCAGCAAUUCACCUUGCCUGAAAAUGUUUUGACUUUGUUUCAUGUUCCAAGUGCCGAAAUGAUCGCACGCCUCGUUAGAAGUUGAACGUUACUCUUUUCUUCAAAUGCAGGUUGUGAUGUUUUCCUAAUUAGGUAUUGAGAAUUACCAUUGGUAUUUGGAAUUAGAUUGCGGAGCAUUUAGGAACCGUUCUCGCUAUGUUGCCCAGGCUGGUCUUGAACUCCUCAGCUGAAAUGAGCCUCCCACCUCGGCCUCCCAAAGUGCUGGGAUUACAGGCGUCCCCUCUGCCCCAGUACUGUUUCCUCUCCCCAGCCCAGCCCCCACAGCUGCCUGCCCUGGCCUCACUCCCUGGCCUCCCCCAUCCCAGCCUCUGGGUCCCUGAGUCAGUCCCUGGGGCUGUCUGCCUUCUAGGGGAGCCUCUGGUGUGGACCAGAAAGUAACCUAAUCCCUUCCAGGCCCACCCUGGAAACAAAGGGAUUUGUCCACUAGCCUGGUGGUGAGAACCAUGUGGCCUCCUGUCUCUGGCAGAGAGGACUCCAGGAUCAAGGGCAGGUAAAAGGAGGAGCCUCCUGGGGAGCUUCAGAAGGAGGGUCCCAAGUCCCUCCUGCCCCACUUCUGUGCCUGGGUCACUCACACCCCUGCCUGACUCUAGCCCCCCUUCUCCAGGGGUCUCCACAACAUGUGAAUCAUGCCCAGCGUCUUCCAUUACACCCUUGAUAAAGUCCUCUCCUCACCAGGACCUCUGUCAUUUUACCUCAUGGUUUUGAAAUAAUUUUUGGUCUUCUUAGCAGUUUAAAAAUAUUGUUUUGUUUUUUUUCCUGAGUUUGGAGCAUUCCUGUUACUAAUUACAUUUUUUUUUUAGACAGGUGUACACUACUACACCCAGCUAAUUUGUUUUGUUUUGUUUUGUUUUGGUAGAGAUAGGAUCUUGCUAUGGUACCCAGGCUGGUCUUCAACUCCUGGGCUCAAGCAAUCCUCCUGCAUUGGCCUCCCAAAGUGCUGGAAUUACAGGCAUGAGGCAGCACUCCCAGCCCGU